AGAGUUUGAUCAUGGCUCAGAAUCAACGCUGGCGGCGCGCUUAACACAUGCAAGUCGCACGAGAAAGUGGAGCAAUCCAUGAGUACAGUGGCGUACGGGUGAGUAACACGUGGAUCAUCUACCUCUUAGUGGGGAAUAACCCUGGGAAACCGGGGCUAAUACCGCAUAAGCUCGAGAGAGGAAAGCAGCAAUGCGCUGAGAGAGGAGUCCGCGGCCGAUUAGCUAGUUGGCAGGGUAAACGCCUACCAAGGCAAAGAUCGGUAGCCGGCCUGAGAGGGCACACGGCCACACUGGCACUGAAACACGGGCCAGACUCCUACGGGAGGCAGCAGUGGGGAAUCUUGCACAAUGGGGGAAACCCUGAUGCAGCGACGCCGCGUGAGCGAUGAAGCCCUUCGGGGUGUAAAGCUCUUUCGGCAGGGACGAUCAUGACGGUACCUGCAGAAGCAGCUGCGGCUAACUGCGUGCCAGCAGCCGCGGUAAUACGUAGGCAGCGAGCGUUGUUCGGAGUUACUGGGCGUAAAGGGUGUGUAGGCGGUUGCUUAAGUUUGGUGUGAAAUCUCCCGGCUCAACUGGGAGGGUGCGCCGAAUACUGAGUGACUCGAGUGCGGGAGAGGAGAGUGGAAUUCCUGGUGUAGCGGUGAAAUGCGUAGAUAUCAGGAGGAACACCGGCGGUGUAGACGGCUCUCUGGACCGUAACUGACGCUGAGACACGGAAGCGUGGGUAGCAAACAGGAUUAGAUACCCUGGUAGUCCACGCCCUAAACGAUGCAUAUUUGGUGUGGGUCAUUCAGUUGAUCCGUGCCGGAGCUAACGCGUUAAAUAUGCCGCCUGGGGAGUACAGUCGCAAGGCUGAACUCAAGGAAUUGACGGGGCCCGCACAGCGGUGGAGCAUGUGGUUCAUUCGACGCAACGCGAAGAACCUUACCUGGGCUCGAACGGCUGGUUACCGGCGGUGGAAACAUCGCUACCGA
rnacentral:rRNA from 1 species